rnacentral:tRNA from 1 species
GUCCGUGUGGCUCAAUGGCAGAGCGCUUCGUUGGUAACGAAGCGGCUGCCCCGGCUCGCUGAGCUCGCCGGACUGCGCUCGGCACGGACAGCACGCAGGUGCUGUCCUAUCGGCCUUCGGCCGAUGCCGUGCUCGGGUUCGAUUCCACCCAUGGGCACCA